rnacentral:lncRNA from 1 species
CUCAGGAAUAAAUUAUCUCAAUGGCUACUUACAUGGUCCAGCAUAGCAGAAAAAAAAGCCACACUGAGCAAGCAGUGGUCCUUUCCAUGCUACACAAGCAAGAAAUGCCUAUAAAGACAGACUUGAGUGCAGUCUAAAGAAUCUUUUGCUUUGCCUUAACACUCUACUUCUGGAUAUCCUUGCUCAAAAAGAAGUCUACUCAAGAGACAGGGAGGUUCCUGUGGACAGAAACAUCUGCUUCCUGCUUAUCCUGUAUCUCAGCAUCUGAAUGGUCAUGACUGGAACACAGGCAGACUUCAGAAAUAAAUACAUAAAUAUCUCAUA